GUGCGCCGUUAGGCCGCACAUAUACCACAAUCGGAACAUACAGAGAAGACUGGCCUGGCCCCUGCGCAAGGAUGACAGGCAGAUGCGUGCUGUGUUUCAUAUUUCA